rnacentral:lncRNA from 1 species
GGGGUUGUUAUUAAGCAAUGGGGGUGGGUCAUGCGAACACUCAAGCCAUGCACCAUCGAUUUGCUGAUGAAGGCCCUGUUAGAGUGACAAAAAAGCAAUAGUGUAUACGAUCGAGUUUGCUGGGACGCCGAUCAGAGUAGGGAUCACAGACCGCUCCACGAGCAACUCCAGCUGAAAAUAACGCAAAGCAGCAAAUACGAUCAGACUUCUUGCAAUUUUCUCAUGCAUCUAUCGUAGUAUCAUCCCCGUGUUGUGUUUAUUUUUUCGCUACCUAACCUAGCUGAAAUGAAAAGUUUAGGAUGAUGAAAUAACUAGGGGCUACGAUUCUCUUACCAGAUUCUUGUUUUCUCGGUUCCCCAAACUUGCCAAUGUCUCUCAAUC